ACAGACAGAGACUUUCUACAAUCUCGGAAUCACCAGUACCCACAGAUUCCGACACACUGGGAUGUGAUGGCAUGAGCAUCCCUCUAGGAACGUGACACAGCAACUGGAUUUAGCCUGUGCUCUGCAGGAGUUUCCACAGGGACUUGGCUUUUUGUGCCUCUUGCUUACACACUGGGCUGGGUUGGUGAGUGUCCUCGUCCUUCCUUCCUCCGAGGCACUGUCAGGGUCAAUUACAUUGAGUAAAGUGGAGUGGGGGAAGCAAAGUCACUGCAAUAUUUAGGGUUUCAGUAUGAUGGUGUCCGUUGGGAAACACCUGCAAUCAGUAGGUGAUGCCAUUUGAGAAAUCGAGAGGUACUGAGUGUAAAGAACAGAUUGUGCAAGUGUUUAGAUGCCUGGCUAUUUUUUCAGUAGUGCCCACUAAUUUGGGCAUGUUUUCCUCUCUGGAUGCCCAGUUGGAGAUGGCUCAGAGGAGCUCAUGUUUGGAAGUCACGUACUGAAGUCAUGGCUCCUUCAGGGUGUCACUCAUGUUCACAGCUGGGCACAGAGGCAGUGAGCAUCCCUGUGGCCCAGGUCUCAGCAUGGGAGAACCACUGCACUGUUGUCUUCUUGCCAAAACCCUGAAUGUCUCAUCACCACAUGGAAAAGCAUCUUGCUGGAGAAUGAAUUCGUAAAUAGUGCAGUAACAUGAACCCAUCACACAUCAGAAACAGCUGGCUUUACAGUGGUCAGGUGAGUGCAUUCACAAGUUUACCACGAAGUGGAACUGGAAUUAGCUUGAUGUGUUUCACCUCCUGUAUGCUGCUCACCUCACCAUGAUGAUGAUGCCAACUGCAUUAUGUUGUCUUUUUCUGUUGGCCAAAGAGAGAACAGAAAUCAUCCUAAGCUUUUUUUUUUUUUUUUUAAAUUUAGUUGUAUGGUGUUACACGUUAUCCAAAAAGCUCUUUUCAGAACUCUGUCUUCUCUGCUGUACAGAGAGACACUUUGUUGGAUAAAAUUAAAUUCAUUGGACAUAAAAUCAGGCCAGCCAGUUGUUUGUGCCAAAGCAUGAUGUUUUGUGAAGGGAGAGGCCAUCAUUAUGUAUCUAUUUUGUAGCUGGUUUUAAAUGAACUUUUUCAUUUCAAAACAAUUAAAUAACACGACUUGUCCAUUUGGCUAGCUGCUUUGCCUUGUGCUUGUCUUUUUGGCAUGUUUUCCCAAAACUAGCACAAAUGCAGCAUUUGUUUUGUUGGCCAUGGACUGACUGGAACAACCCACACUAUUAAAUUUUGAUGGAAAAGGGCAUUCAUGAGUUUUUAAAGCUCUAGUGGCCUGUGCCUCUGUGUUUUUGUGCUGUGUUAUCCUCUUAGCCUGUAACAGUCCAGGAGGACACCGAAAUCCUCUGUGUACCAUGAACAGUGUGAGGCAGCCAGAGAGGAGCUCUGCCUUGGUGUGCUGCUGUCCUGCCUGCAGGAUGCUCACUCCUGAAGGGAGGUGUUCUCCAGCAGAAGAUUUCCUGCAUUGCCCAGCAGUCCAUGGAGCAGGAUUCCGUGUCUGGGCAGCACCAAGCCUCUCACCCACGGAGGGCUUCCUUGGGAUCCAGCUUCCCAGGAGGUUCCCCUCUGCAAAGAGCUGCAGGGUGAGUGCUGCACCUAAGCUCCUCUACUUCUGAAAAAGGAGCGGUCUGAGCCAAAUCUGUUCUUUUACCCAUAUAGUGCUUGUUAAAUCUUGUACAAAAUAGCCCCCAAUCAGUAUUUUCAACAGCUUUCUUGGCAGGGAAGCUCUUGAGUUAUCCUACUUGAGGGCCUGAGCUUGCAGACCUUGUGGUAGUAGCUGGAGCAAGGUGAUAAAUAUUUGUGCACCACUGAAAUGGUGCUGAAGUACAAGCUACCAAAUUUGUCUCGUUGGCCAAGUGCAAAAAACCUUGUGCACAGGUAUUGUCUUCCAUUUCUGGGUUUGUACAGCCUUUUGCUCACUGGGAGCCUGGGACUCUUGAAAUGCAGAGAAUCGUAUAAAGAUUAAAAAGAAGUGGCAUGGCGUGAACACCAUUUGGGAGCAAUUAAUGACAUGCCCAGCCCAGCCACCAAAGCCAUUGCUGAGAACUGGCAAACCCAGAACUUCAUCUUAAUCCCAGCACCUUGUAUCUUGCAGCCACUCCCUUUGAUGAUUUAAAAAGGUGUAUCUAAUUCUUAGCUGGCCAUCACUGGCAAGGAAUGCAGCACGAUUGCAAAUUUGGUGUGGUAUAAUUACCCUGCCUUUCUUGCCCCAUUACCACUGACAUUACUCUCCUCAUGCCUGGGUUUAUAGGCUGACUUGUAGAACCUCUCUGGUUUGUUUUGCUUUUUUUAAUGACAAUGUUGAGAGGAUGGGAGGUGUUUGCUGGUUUCAUGGAAGCUUCCUUUGGUUUCUGGGUGGCAAGGCACCCCGCUCCUGGUUUUUGUAAGACUCGGAAAAAGCUGAGUAAUACAAUAAAGGAGAAUGUUUGGGAAUACAUGUGAUUCAGUGGUUGGAGCCAAGUGUUUAACAGUUAGAGGAAGUGCUCCUUUCAGGAUUACAAUUAUUUGGAUUGCACAGUGUUUUUGUUGGUUUUUUACCUUUGUAGCUUUGCCAGUGCAAAUCCUCAGUUAGAGGGUUUUUUUCAGGUACAAAAACAGUGCCAGGAGCAGCACCCCUCUCUUGGCAUUUAUUUCAUGUGGCUUCACUGCUUCUUGUUGCCCCCUGAAUUAUUGCAGUCGAGGGUUUUGCCCUCUGGCUGUGUGUGAAUCCCCUGGAGAAGCUGGUUUUCUGGGGUUCCCAGUAACAGAUUGUGUAAGCUGGUGUUUAAGGAGGUGGUCCUGGUGGCUGAGUUGGUUGGUUGCACGCAGAACUGCUGCACAUCUGGUAUCAGAAAUAUCUCUGCUCACUCCAUGUCCAUUCCUGCUGCACAGGACACCACAAGGAGCUGGGAGAGCCUGGGUGACCCAGCUGGAGUCACUGCACACCUCCUACUCCUCUCUCUCCCAGUGGAGACCAGCCAGUGCUGGGAGCCUGGAGAAACUGGUGGAGGCCAGCAGAGAUGACAGUGGGAAACUUUCAGCUGCCUUUGGCUAGGCUGUGGUACAGGGACGUGGAGAUUGAGCUUGUGUAGGAGGGAGGGAGCGAAGGGGAGUCCCACUGGUGCCAGUCAGGGAGAUGGAGAGGUCUGGGGAGCCACCAGCAGCACUGGUAUGUGCUCCCUGGCAGUGCUGGGAGAAAACCUGUCAUGCAGGACAGGGAGCCUCAUGGUUCUGCCGUGCUCAGGCUGCUGGUGCCAGGUGACAACUCACCAGUGGCCCUUUCUGCUGAGGGGAUGCUCUCCCAAAGGGAACAAAAUCCUGCCUCUUUCUGCCUUCUGGUUUUCUCAGAGUUCUGGGACUCUGUUGCUGCAGGUGUGGAUUCGUGUUCAGCGCUGUGACUCCUGCCCCUCCCCCAGUUGAUGUCCACAAUAAAAAGGUCUUUUCUCUCUUCUGAAUGUGUUGCCACAGGAUUUUCUGGAGUGGGGAACUGUUGUCUGGGGGUGAAUCCUGAAGGAGGAUUGAGUUUGGGAUCAUUCCUUGUCCCAGCAUUCUUCCUAACAGCUGGUCUGAGUUGAGGUGCUUUAGGAGACAAACCAAAGCAGAGUAUCCCACCUAAGUGUAGAGCAUAAGGGACCUGUGGAGGUCUCCUGGUCCAAUAUCUGCCCCAGCAGUAUUCCCUGGAGCAGGCUGGCCAGGACCAUGUCCUGGUGAGUUUAGGGGAUCUCCUUAGGGCAGGGCCAUGUGCUCAGAGUGGGGGUAGGACAUAGACAGGGCAUGGUGCCAGGAAGGGCUGUUAUGGAUUAGAGAACCUGGGUGUUGGAAAUCUAAUGAAUUAAGUGGUGAAUGAGUGAAAUGACAUGUUAGAUUCCUGUGUUUAAAGGGGGUUGAGCCUUUAUUUGCCAGGGUUUCCUGUUUGCUUUCUUAAUGAGCUCAUAAAAUAUAGUUGAAUUUAUGAAGUACCUUGCACUGUGAAGAUGAGGUAUCCAAACAUACCAUGACACUGCUCAGUCCAGAAGAGGUUUCCUGUAGCUUUUCACUGUCUGCAGGACAGGGUGGGGGCUGUUCACUAUUUUUAAAACCUCUGCAGGGAAUAUUCUUCACCUGUAAUUUAAAAAAAGACUGCCUUAAUAUUCUUGCUUUUAAAGUACUUUCUGCAAAUGAAACGUGGAACAUGGGAAUCUCAUCUUUACGUUUUAAUUGGUGGCCCCAGCAGUCCUAGUUCUAUGCAGAGCAAAUUCUGCACUUAGUCAUAUGUGGGCAGUGCAGUCCCUGCUGGAUUUCCUGCACACCACUGCUUUGUCCAAAGUGGUUUGCUGGUUUUGGUGCAUCAGGAGCAGAGCCAGCAUCUGACUGAGUCCCAAACAUCUGCAGGUACAGUGUAAAACUCACAACUUCCCUUUACCAUCCAACAGUGCCUUCAGAAGACCCCAUUCAGUCAGCACAUCUGCCCAGGCUGGGAACAAGGCCAUUCCUGUGAGGAAAAGGAGAGCUGGGAGCUGCACUGAGGGGCUGAUCCAGCCAGCUUUCCCAGGCUGUGCACAUGGGUUUCAGGUACUGCAUUCCCACCCACCACUUGUUGCAGUCUGAACUCCUCUUCCCAUCUGGGUCGUGUGAGGUACCCUCCACGAGCAGCACUUUGCUCUUACAGGCAUCCUGCUGUGCAUUGCAGCACUUCAGAGCUAAAUAAUUUAUCUAGGAAGAAUGUUUUCUACGUGACUUAGAAAAUGGGAGAGAAGAGGAAUAUUGCAACAGUAAACUGAGGGGUGGACAAAUACAUUCUGCCUCUCAGUUUCUGAGCAUUGCACUUUGCCACUUUUGUUUCAAAAUUGCUUUCUCUCCCAUAAUUAUCUUCAAAAGAGAAAGCUGAUCCAAAAUGUUCCCCUUUAUAUAUAUACACACACACACAUAUAUUUUAGGGUGGUUCAUUGAUUUCCAUUUCUAAUAAUCAAAGUGAAUAAACAAAAGCAAAAAGCCCCACGGCAAUAUAUUGCCUAGCAUAUUUAAAAUAGAGAGAAUGCUCAUAUGUGCCGCAGCACACUUCGUCUGUGGACAUCAAAGUGUCUCAUAGAGGUCGUAAUCCUCAUUUCAAAGAUGAGGAAACAGAGGUGCUGAGAGAGAAAGUGGCUUAGCAGGUCAGUGACAAAGCAGGGCAAGAGUCCCCUGAGCCUGUACUGCAGGCAGAGGUGAGAGAGCAGAGGAGAACAAACCUGUCCUCACCUAAUCAGGACAGCUGAGUCCCAAGUGCAGUGAAGGCACAGUGACACUGCAGGGACAGCACCAAAUCAUGCCACAAGCCAUAGAGCCAGCAAAGCCUGGUUUCUUCCAGUUUUGUGUCUAGUCCAGUAGUUCAGGGUCGUCUGCUGUUGGCCUUUGAUGUCACAAUAAUGAGGUUCCACUUGUCUUUCUCUCACCAAGGGUACUGGGGGAGUCUGGCUUCUCAGCUUUGUUGUCUGGUUUCCCAAAACUUUGGGGUACUUGAGAAUUUUUGAGCCUUCCUGUUGUCUGCGAUCACUGAGGCAGUGAAGUCACAAAGAACUCAUCCUUGCAUGUACACACAGGCACGUUUGCCUCAGCAUUGCAGUUGGGGGUUGCCUUAUCCUAUGGAACUACUUGAUCAGUCAGCACUUUAAUGCUGCAAAUCUGUGGCUUUUAAUAUUUUAAAUUUAACAUUUUCUAUUCUGUAACAGAGUUCUGGAACUAGAUACAGUGUGGUGCAGUAAGGAUGUUCACAAUGUUGGUUCAGUAACCACUUAUGGGAGAAUCUUUCCCAAGGGGAGAGACAAAAUUGGACUUUCAGCUCUGUAGCUUCAACUUCUUUGAGACCUGAGAGGCUCACAGCACAGUAAGACUCAUUCAUGUUAUUCAUUUGAUGAAUAACUUCAGUGAGAAGGCUUCUUGAUGCCUGCAGCCAUGCCCCCUUGGGUCCUGGUCCUCUCACAUCUAGCUACCCAGAGGGAGAGGUUCAAUGGGAAUUUUGAUGGGAAGAUCUAACAUAAGUUGUAAGCUGUCUUAAUUUGUAAACUCUGGAAAUACUCUGGGUGGGCUGGUAAAUUGAAACCUGCUAUUAAGAGGUUGGUUUUUUCUUAACUUUAACAGACCUGUAAAAGGUAGACCAUGGGAGUCACAGGUCUGCUGGCCAAAAACUGAAGGCACAUACUCUAAAGAAUCCCCCUGGUAUUUUAGGAAUACUUCCAAUGGCUCAGAAGAGAGCAUUGUGCUCUCUGAGGACUAGAGGACAGCUGCUGGAUGAGUGGCCUGAGUUUCAUGGUGUGAUAUGGCCAUAAGUUAAUUGAAGAUCUUGGAGUGUUCUCCAUAAAGGGAUUUGCCUCUGAAACACAGACACAAUUUGGGAGAUUGUCCCACUCUACUCAUAUUGUAAGAAGCAGCAAAAUCAAUGGGAGUUUACAAGUGAAAGCAGGUUUGCUAAAGAGAAUUUUUUCUCCUUCCAGGUGCUGUGAGUGACACUUCCAGUGGGUGCUGCAGUGGGUGGGAUCCCUGUGAGCCUGCUUACUCCUGGCAGGAUGGUUUAUCUGGAGUGUAAGGCCCUCACCCAUUAGCUUCUAGUCCACUGGCUGUCUACUGAAUGUUUUAUAUACUCAGGUGCUUUAGUAAUCUUCUUCCCUUAAUACCAAGACUUUCUGCUGAUUAUCAAUAUGUUCCUUGGACUAGUAAGGCUUUACUGGCUGUUGUUCACAAUUAUUUGGACAACAUACACAAAUGAUGCUCAGGUAGGGAUACCUGAAGAUCCCUCUCCUUCACACCUUACCAGAAGAAUAUUCUUUUUACUGGGCUAGGUGGUCUUGGUCCUCCAUCUCUUCUGUGACAUAAACCUAACAUUCCUCACUGGCUGCCCAGUGGUCUGAUGCCAAGAUGAGCCAAGACAUCUUUCCUUCCCUCCAGCCAGAGUGGGUGCUUUGACAGGAUGUGCUGGAUUGAUCUCAGACUGCAGGUGACAUUUCUGGGUCUGCCUUGCCUUUGGCCACCCAGUUGAGAAAUGUUCUCACUACAUCAACAAGGAAAACUGUGAGAAGUCAAGUGUGUUGGAGUCAGACUCAUCUCACCAUCUUCAGGUGUCCAACUUCAGCACCAUCAGCUUGACACUGAGACUCUGAGGAAUUCAGGGUGGAAUGAGCCAUCGUGGUUCCUGUGGAAACAUGAGGUCUACAAUUGUUUAUUUCUUUCCACGGGGUUUUAAGGGAGCCCAGAACUGCCACUUACAGUGUAAAUAUCCAGCAUCAGCCUAGAUAAAUCCUGUGUUUGACCCCUGAGGUUCUCUGUAGCCCUCCAGACUCCCAUUCUUACCUCCCACUCACCUGGGUGCAGUGCACACUGUGUAUAUACAGCACCAGUCCCUGCUCAGCCUGUCUUAAUUAAUAACAGCUUUAUCAUCUGAUAGGGACCAACAGAAUAUCCCCUGUGACACAGAAGGCUCCUGCCCUGAGGAUGGCUCCCUGCAGACAGAUGGCAAGCAGAAAAUAUGCCAGAAAUGCUCUUCCUCAGAAGGUUCCCUCUCAGGCAUGGCUGGCUGGUGUGGGCACCAGGUACAGAGGAGUUCUUGGAGGCUAAGGCAGCAAGGAAAACCUGCAAGGGAAAAACAUGAACCCAAACAAGGGAAGAAGACCCAAGCAGUUAGUAUUCUCCAGUGAGGGUUUUAUUUCAGCCCAUUGCUCUCCCUCCUUGCUUAGCACUGUGGAUAUACACCUCCUGGGAGAGCAGCUCUGCCCAGGGAGAUGUGACAUCCACCCAGGCAGGGAAGGGGUGGGAGACAGCACGUACCCAGCUGGGUUUUAGAGACUCAGAGCAGAUUUCAGCAGCUGAUGUCAUGGCUGGGGUGAACCCAGCUGGGUUUUAGAGACUCAGAGCAGAUUUCAGCAGCUGAUGUCAUGGCUGAGGUGAGGCUGGUGGGAUGUUGGUGGCAGAGGCAGUAAUUAAACCCCUGGCAUUCUGGCCAGAGGCACAGCCAUGUCCUGCUUCAUCUGAAGAGAGCUGGUCUGACACAGCAGAAGCCUUUACAUAACCAGGCCAGAUUUUCACUUUUGGAGCAACAGUUUCAGAAGAACUACAGAAACUGCAGGCAGGAUUUGUCGCUACUUAUGAGCAGGGGGUGAGCACACUUCUGUCGCCUCCUGUCUCGCACCUCGCUGGGUGACAAGUAUGUCAGGCAGUGAGAGCUGGUCUUGCAGCCUUCUGCCUGCAUUCCCAUUUCCUCUUUCUGUGCUUUCUGUUGGGAUAGCAGAGGUUUGCACUGCCAUGUGAGACGUUUUCUUAUUGCUCUCUGCAACCGCAGUCGCAUUUCAGAAGUGUUUUGGCACGUUGCCCUGCUGGCAGCCCACGAUCCCAGUAGCAGCUUCUCAGGCUGAAAUGGUUUUGUUGCCAUGCAUUUAGCCCAUCUCUGUUAUUGCACAGGCUUUUCCUUUCUCCCUCAUCUGCUCUGGCUGUAUCUCACACAGGAGAUGUGAACCUUUUUCAGGGAAUCUUUUUCAGCAAUUGGAGUGAACCUGAAUAAAUACUUGUUAGGUAAAAAA